rnacentral:rRNA from 1 species
UACGAACUGUGCGAACGUUAUUCGGAAUCACUGGGCUUACAGGGUGCGUAGGCGGCUAUUCAGGUCAGGUGUGAAAGCCCCCGGCUCAACCGGGGAACUGCGCUUGAAACCGAGUGGCUCGAGUCAGCUAGAGGUACACGGAACUUCCAGUGGAGCGGUGAAAUGUGUUCGAUAUUGGAAGGAACACCGGAGGCGAAAGCGGUGUACUGGGGCUGGUCUGACGCUGAGGCACGAAAGCGUGGGGAGCAAACAGG